UCGAGGAGAGGAUAUACUAUGGCUGUAUUUUAAUACAUAUCUUGAAAUUUAGAAGUUGCUUUCUGUGAAGUUUAGUUAGCCAAGGAUGUCGUAUAUGUGGAAUCACGAGUUUACGUCAUUGCAAGUAAUAUUAGACAAGAUUGGAUGAUGUUCAAGCAUUUUAUUUCCACAAAGAAAAUAUAUUACACCGAAAACUUGAUAAGAAUAUACAAAUAGAGUACAGUUUCAAAAGAAACUGGUUUAACCAAAAUCAAAUAGUUACCAUGCAUAUAUAUUCUGAGCUAUCUUAUUUUUUUAGUAUGCUGCAGGGUGAAUUCUAUAGAAACCCCCGAGGAAGCUGCAGCCACCGGAACAUGAACCCAAGCCAGAACCGAAAGAGGGUGAAGUAGUCCCAUAAACUUCCUUCUUAGCCUCUUUAAUUCCCAGGCUUUUCAGCAUUUCUGUCUCCUUGUUCAACUUUUUCCACACAUACACUUCAGCAAUGCCAAUAUUGGCUGUUGACAUUAUUGGAAAAUGGAACUGACGAGUAUAAAAUGAUGAAAUUCAGAUGAAUAAUGAAGUAGGAUUUAUUUCAUGUAUAAAUAGAUACAAGAACAGGCAGUGAGCGGCCAGGGGCCAGGUUUUUAACAGUGAUUUGAAGGAAGUCAGAAGUGGAAUGUGCUAUUUGGGAGACUAAGUUAUUUUCAGUUUUUCAUGGAAUUCCUUGUCAUUUACCACUUACAAGUUACGAAGUACAUGUAUUUUCAUGUAUUCGUUUGGUUAUUUGAGGUCAUUGUCCACGUCAUCAUGAAUUUAAUGGAAGACGGUAAUCAUUUUUCGUUUGUCCCGAUAUUGUCCGUUGUUAAGAUAGAUAAACUCUGUCGUACCAUAAAACAUUUAGAGAAAGUUCAAAAUAUUAUCUUUGAGUCCUCUGUGAACUAUACAAGCUCUAACAUGUUAACUUGAAGUCGCUCGCAAACCUUUCCAGCAUGACAAACGAAGAGUCAAAUAGUUGCUCUGGUUAACAAGAACUAAUACUAAGAGAAAAUACAUAGCAAAUAUAGCCUAUGUACUCCUAAUGUGACACAACAUUUUAGAUUAAUCAAUAUAUGACAUUGUCCUUUCGUUAAUCUAUAACCAAAGACAUUGGCCCUUUAAUUGCUUCACUUCAAUAAUUGAACCAAGUUUAUGAAUUGGUUAUAAGUUUGAUUUAAAGAAUUGUAAUUUGUGAAAUAAUAAGUCGAUUCUACUUUUAAAUUAGAUCGAGAGAUAAGAGUCAAUGAGAUAGGGAUGGCGUGGUGGGUGACCGCCCCCACAACAUUUUAAAAUAUUUUUAAAAUUAUAUAAAAAAAAUCGAUUUUUUAAUAUGUAUUUUGCCUCAACAUUUUUCAUGCACCCCAACAUUAAAAAUCCUAACUUCGUCACUAAUGGAGCCAACUGUGAAUUUCCACCUACCCAGUGCUUUUGACUUCAAUGAAUGUCCUUUUAGAAAACAAGAGCAACUUUGAGAUGAAGGCAUUGGACUUUAUCCCAAGCCUCUUCAAUGACUGGAGGAGUAAAAGGUAUACCACAUAUUAUUUUAGAGGAGAUAGUGAGUGCUUCCUAUAGGUCAAGGGGAAUUAUUUAUUUGUAUUUGUUGGUUCAAAUCCCAUUUAAAGAUAGAAUAUAAUUGAUUCAUUCCCAUUAGAUUAAAAUUUAUUUAGAUGAGAUACAGUUAUCCCAUUAUAUUUGAUCUUUAAUUGAUUUGAGCAUAAUUCAAUUAGAAACUGUCGUGGAUUUUUCUUGUAAUGCGGUCUUGAUUGGUUUUAAUUAAAUUGAAUUGAAUGUCCACAGUCAUGAUGAGAUUUGAAGGAAAUAUUGAACACCCCUCGGAAUUAUUUAAAAUUACAUUAGAAUAGUGUAUUUUUUGUGUUUUGAGAAAUCAAAUACAAGAAAUCUUUGUUGAGGAAUUAUCUAAAUCUACCAAGACCUGAAUAAGAUGCAAUUGAUACCAAAAUUCAUCCAAAGAGCCUAUAAAAAAAGGAUUUUCUGAUAUUAGCAUGUAUGAUGAGGCAAAUUCAUAGGUGAAGAUUGGAGUUGUAGCAACUUAGUCCGUGUUUGGUUCCUAUUUUCUAAAAUUCAUUUUUCCUUCAACUUAUUUCCAAUCACACAUUUCAUAGGACCUACAACUUGUAAGGUGGAUCACUUCAUCCAUAUGUCACAAGUUAAUAAGUCUAGAGAGAUUGAAGGAGAUUGUGCUAGUUUAAGAGCAUUUUGAACCGUAGAUUAAAUCCAACCAUCAAUUUAGUCUUAUGGUCAAUUCUCCUUUUCUAAUCAUGUUACAUUCACUCUUAAUUAUAUUACAAUAUUUGAAUUUGAAUUCAAAUGGUUUUUGCUCUAUAAUUACAAGACUUCUUCACUUAAUUUCAUUAGGACUUGGCAUAACAAGAGAGAGAAAGUAUAGAAAGGUAACCAAGUGAGAGAAAUUCAUAUAUCCGGCAAAAUUCUUGGUGACUUCCGACAUACCCUUUUUCUCUUUAUAUCUAUUGUCAUUCCUGUGGACAACGGUGUAUGAUCUAGUAUGACUUAAAUCUGAGCUCAACAUUGUAGAACACUCCAUUGGUGAUGUUGAAGAAGCUUUGGAUCGAUUAGUUCGAUUUUUUUACACUUCAAGAGUUUAUGUUUCCUCAUUGUAAUUGUAAUAAUCAUUUGUACACUACAUUUAAACUCUACACAACUUUUAUUAACUUUUCUACCACAUCACGUAUUUUAUCAACUUUUAUCAUAAUCUACUGAAAAUCUGAUUUUUAGCUAAUCCAAACAGGGGCUUAAUGCAUAGUGACAUUGGUAUAUAGAUCGUCCAAACAUGGAAAAAUUAUGUGUAUAAUUAACUCGGAAGCUCAAACGUACAGUUAGUGGUUCAAUCCCCAAUCAUAGGGCUGGUAUAUCACUUUCAGAUGAGUAUUUGGAAGCAAAUCAAGCAAAGGUUGAGACUAUACCGGCUCCAGGUAGUUUGCACCAUGCCUUGUACC
rnacentral:lncRNA from 1 species